UUUCCGUAGGUGAACCUGCGGAAGGAUCAUUAUUGUAUAACCGAGGUGCGAGGGCUGUCGCUGACCCAAAAGGGCGUGCACGCCCGAGUGCCCUCACACACAUCCAUCUCACCCCUAUGUGCACCACCGCGUGGGUCCCCCUUUGGCUUGUUCGGAGGGGGGCUUACGUUUUCACACAAACUUUGUAUGCAGUGUAGAAUGUAUUUUUUGUUUUUGCGAUCACGCAAUCAAUACAACUUUCAACAACGGAUCUCUUGGCUCUC
rnacentral:misc_RNA from 1 species